rnacentral:rRNA from 1 species
AGUGAACGCUGGCGGUAGGCCUAACACAUGCAAGUCGAACGGCAGCACAGGAGAGCUUGCUCUCUGGGUGGCGAGUGGCGGACGCGUGAGGCCUACAUCGGACUCUACUCUGUCGUGGGGGAUAACGGAGGGAAACUUACGCUAAUACCGCAUACGACCUACGGGUGAAAGCAGGGGACCUUCGGGCCUCGCGCGAUUGAAUGCGCCGAUGUCGGAUUAGCUAGUUGGCGGGGUAAAGGCCCACCAUGGCGACGAUCCGUAGCCGGUCAGAGAGGAUGAUCAACCACACUGGAACUGAGACACGGUCCAGACUCCUACGGGAGGCAGCAGUGGGGGAUAUUGGACAAUGAGCGCAAGCCUGAGGCAGCCAUACCGCGUGGGUGAAGAAGGCCUUCGGGUUGUAAAGCCCUUUUGUUGAGAAAGAAAUCCAGCUGGCUAAUACCCGGUUGGGAUGACGGUACCCAAAGAAUAAGCACCGGCUAACUUCGUGCCAGCCGCCGCGGUAA